rnacentral:ncRNA from 1 species
AAAGGUUUGGUCCUAGCCUUUUUAUUAAUUGAUAGCAAAAUUAUACAUGCAAGAGUCGUCAUCCCUGUGAAAAUGCCCUAUAAAUCAUCAAGAUAUCAAGGAGCAGGUAUCAAGCACACUAAUAGUAGCUCACAACACCUUGCUUAGCCACACCCCCACGGGAUACAGCAGUAACCAAAAUUAAGCAAUAAACGAAAGUUUGACUAAGUUAUGCUACACCACUAAGGGUUGGUAAAUCUCGUGCCAGCCACCGCGGUCAUACGAGUAACCCUAAUUAAUAAACCCCGGCGUAAAGAGUGUUAAAAAUAUUGGUAUAAUAAGAUUAAAUCAUAUCCAAGUCGUAAAAAACAAAAGAUAUUGAUAAACUCAUCGACGAAAGUAAUCUUAAUAUUUUUUGGAUACACCAAAGCUAAGACUCAAACUGGGAUUAGAUACCCCACUAUGCUUAGCCGUAAACACAAACACUUUAUAACAAUAGUCUUCGCCCGAGAACUACUAGCAACAGCUUAAAACUCAAAGGACUUGGCGGUGCUUUAAACCCACCUAGAGGAGCCUGUUCUAUAAUCGAUAAACCCCGAUAGACCUCACCUCUUCUUGCUAAUUCAGCCUAUAUACCGCCAUCUUCAGCAAACCCUACUAAGGAAUAAAAGUAAGCACAAUUACUAUCAUAAAAACGUUAGGUCAAGGUGUAGCCAAUGAAGAGGGAAGAAAUGGGCUACAUUUUCUCCUGCUUAAGAGAACAACUAACAGUAAUCUCCAUGAAAUCAAGAGGUUUUAAGGAGGAUUUAGUAGUAAAUUAAGAAUAGAGAGCUUAAUUGAAUUAGGCCAUAAAGCACGCACACACCGCCCGUCACCCUCCUCAAAUAUACAUUAUAAUUCACCUUAAUUAUCAAGAUAUGAGAGGAGAUAAGUCGUAACAAGGUAAGCAUACUGGAAAGUGUGCUUGGAUAAA